rnacentral:rRNA from 1 species
CCUACGGGAGGCAGCAGUGAGGAAUAUUGGUCAAUGGGCUUACGCCUGAACCAGCCAAGUCGCGUGAGGGAAGACUGUCCUGUGGGUUGUAAACCUCUUUUGUCAGGGAGCAACGCCGGCUACGUGUAGCCGGACUGAGAGUACCUGAAGAAAAAGCAUCGGCUAACUCCGUGCAAGCAGCCGCGGUAAUACGGAGAAUGCGAGCGUUAGCCGGAUUUAUUGGGUUUAAGGGGUGCGUAGGCGGAAUGCCAAGUCAGCGGUAAAAUCGCGGGGCUCAACCCCGCUCCGCCGUUGAAACUGGCGGUCUAGAGUGGGCGAGAAGUAUGCGGAAUGCGUGGUGUAGCGGUGAAAUGCAUAGAUAUCGCGCAGAACUCCGAUUGCGAAGGCAGCAUGCCGGCGCCCAACUGACGCUGAGGCACGAAAGCGUGGGUAUCGAACAGGAUUAGAUACCCGAGUAGUC